GACGAACGCUGGCGGCGUGCUUAACACAUGCAAGUCGAACGAUGAAGAAAAGAAUCGAAGCUUCGGCAGAAAUUCAUUUCGGAUUAGUGGCAGACGGGUGAGUAACGCGUGAGCAACCUACCUCUUACAAAGGGAUAGCCUCGGGAAACCGGGAUUAAUACCAUAUAACAUUGCGACGAAGCAUUUCGAUGCAAUCAAAGCUACGGCGGUAAGAGAUGGGCUCGCGUCCCAUUAACCGGAUGGUGAGGUAACGGCUCACCAUAGUGACGAUGGGUAACCGGGCUGAAGAGGGGAACGGGUACACUGGAAAUUGAGCACGGUCCAAGCCUCCUACGGAGGCAGCAGUGGGGAAUAUUGCACAAUGGAGGGAACUCUGAUGCAGCGACGCCGCGUGAGUGAUGAAGGAAUUCGUUUCGUAAAACUCUGUUCUAUGGGAAGAAAAGGACUGUACCAUAGGAGAAAGCUCCGGCUAAAUACGUG
rnacentral:rRNA from 1 species